UACGAAGGGGGCUAGCGUUGCUCGGAAUGACUGGGCGUAAAGAGCUCGUAGGCGGCUUGUCGCGUCGACCGUGAAAACUUGGGGCUCAACCCCAAGCCUGCGGUCGAUACGGGCAGGCUAGAGUUCGGUAGGGGAGACUGGAAUUCCUGGUGUAGCGGUGAAAUGCGCAGAUAUCAGGAAGAACACCCGUGGCGCAAGCGGCCACCUGGCCAAGAGCUGACGCUGAGGCACGAGAGCGUGGGGAGCGAACCGG
rnacentral:rRNA from 1 species